UCAAGAUGAGAUUUCCCAUAGCAUAAGCUAGUAAGACCCCUUGAAGAACACGAGGUUGAUAGGUCAGAGGUGUAAGUGCAGUAAUGUAUGUAGCUGACUGAUACUAAUAGGUCGAGGGCUUGACCAAGUU
rnacentral:rRNA from 1 species